rnacentral:rRNA from 1 species
UACAGAGGGUGCAAGCGUUGCUCGGAAUCAUUGGGCGUAAAGCGCACGUAGGCGGACCACCAAGUCGGAUGUGAAAGCCCUCAGCUUAACUGAGGAAGUGCACUCGAAACUGGCGGUCUUGAGUACGGGAGAGGGUCGCGGAAUUCCCGGUGUAGAGGUGAAAUUCGUAGAUAUCGGGAGGAACACCAGUGGCGAAGGCGGCGACCUGGACCGAUACUGACGCUGAGGUGCGAAAGCGUGGGGAGCAAACAGG